AAUGAGCUUCUGGUUUCUGUCCAGUCUCACAGAGUAGAGUAGAGCAGAGGAGAGGAGAGGCAGCUGAAACAAAGCAAGACCGCUGACACUGAGAUUAAUCUUUGAGUGAUAUGGAAGAUUAGUGUGGACCAGCCACUAACAGUGAGCUGUUCAACAACCCAUCAUCCAGUACAGACUGGACCAGCCACCAACAGAGGGAGCUGUUCAACAACCCAUCAUCCCUUACAGACUGGACCAGCCACUAACAGUGAGCUGUUCAACAACCCAUCAUCCCUUACAGACUGGACCAGCCACCAACAGAGGGAGCUGUUCAACAACCCAUCAUCAAACUGACUGGACCAGCCACCAACAGAGGGAGCUGUCAUCUACAGACCCAUCAUCAAACUGACUGGACCAGCCACCAACAGAGGGAGCUGUUCAACAACCCAUCAUCCCUUACAGACUGGACCAGCCACCAACAGAGGGAGCUGUUCAACAACCCAUCAUCCCUUACAGACUGGACCAGCCACCAACAGAGGGAGCUGUUCAACAACCCAUCAUCCCAUACAGACUGGACCAGCCACUAACAGUGAG